rnacentral:rRNA from 1 species
ACUGAAUAGAUACCCUGGUAGUCCUGGCCCUAAACGAUGGAUACUUGGUGUCUGGAGUUAUUAUCGCUCCGGGUGCCGUCGCUAACGUUUUUAGUAUCCCGCCUGGGGAGUACGCACGCAAGUGUGAAACUCAAAGGAAUUGACGGGGGACCCGCACAAGCGGUGGAGCAUGUGGUUUAAUUCGACGCAACGCGAAGAACCUUACCUAGGCUAGAAUGUGAGGGAAUUUCGGGUAAUGCCGAAAGUCCGGGAAACCGGACCCAAAACAAGGUGCUGCAUGGCUGUCGUCAGCUCGUGUCGUGAGAUGUUGGGUUAAGUCCCGCAACGAGCGCAACCCUUAACUUCAGUUGCCAUCAUUAAAGUUGGGAACUNCUGGAGUGACUGCCGUUG